rnacentral:rRNA from 1 species
GCGUGUAGGGAGAUCCUUUAGGCAAAUCCGGAGGGUCAAUUCUGAGGCGUGAUAACGAGUGCACUUGUGCACGAAGUGAUUGAUACCAAGCUUCCAAGAAAAGCCACUAAGCUUCAGUUACAUAAAAACCGUACCGCAAACCGACACAGGUGGGCAGGAUGAGAAUUCUAAGGCGCUUGAGAGAACCCGGGAGAAGGAACUCGGCAAAUUAGCACCGUAACUUCGGGAGAAGGUGCGCCCCGG